AGUGAACGCUGGCGGUAGGCCUAACACAUGCAAGUCGAACGGCAGCACAGUAAGAGCUUGCUCUUACGGGUGGCGAGUGGCGGACGGGUGAGGAAUACAUCGGAAUCUACUUUUUCGUGGGGGAUAACGUAGGGAAACUUACGCUAAUACCGCAUACGACCUACGGGUGAAAGCAGGGGAUCUUCGGACCUUGCGCGAUUGAAUGAGCCGAUGUCGGAUUAGCUAGUUGGCGGGGUAAAGGCCCACCAAGGCGACGAUCCGUAGCUGGUCUGAGAGGAUGACCCGCCACACUGGAACUGAGACACGGUCCAGCCUCCUAGGGGGGGCAGCAGGGGGGAAUUUUGGAAAAGGGGCGCAAGCCUGAUCCAGCCAUACCGGGUGGGGGAAGAAGGCCUUCGGGUUGUAAAGCCCUUUUUUUGGGAAAAAAAAGCAGCAGGUUAAAACCCCGCUUUUCUGACGGUACCCAAAGAAAAAGCCCCGGCUAACUUCGU
rnacentral:rRNA from 1 species